rnacentral:rRNA from 1 species
GAUGAACGCUGGCGGCGUGCCUAAUACAUGCAAGUCGAGCGAACAGAUAAGGAGCUUGCUCCUUUGACGUUAGCGGCGGACGGGUGAGUAACACGUGGGUAACCUACCUAUAAGACUGGGAUAACUUCGGGAAACCGGAGCUAAUACCGGAUAACAUUUGGAACCGCAUGGUUCUAAAGUGAAAGAUGGUUUUGCUAUCACUUAUAGAUGGACCCGCGCCGUAUUAGCUAGUUGGUAAGGUAACGGCUUACCAAGGCGACGAUACGUAGCCGACCUGAGAGGGAGAUCGGCCAAACUGGAACUGAGACACGGUCCAGACUCAUACAGAAGGCAGCAGUAGGGAAUCUUCCGCAAUGGGCGAAAGCCUGACGGAGCAACGCCGCGUGAGUGAUGAAGGGUUUCAGCUCGUAAAACACUGUUAUUAGGGAAGAACAAAUGUGUAAGUAACUGUGCAAGUCUUGACGGUACCUAAUCAGAAAGCCACGGCUAACUACGUG